rnacentral:rRNA from 1 species
GGGAUCACUCCUACGGGAGGCAGCAGUGGGGAAUAUUGCACAAUGGGCGCAAGCCUGAUGCAGCCAUGCCGCGUGUGUGAAGAAGGCCUUCGGGUUGUAAAGCACUUUCAGUCGUGAGGAAGGUAGUGUAGUUAAUAGCUGCAUUAUUUGACGUUAGCGACAGAAGAAGCACCGGCUAACUCCGUGCCAGCAGCCGCGGUAAUACGGAGGGUGCGAGCGUUAAUCGGAAUUACUGGGCGUAAAGCGCAUGCAGGUGGUUUGUUAAGUCAGAUGUGAAAGCCCGGGGCUCAACCUCGGAAUAGCAUUUGAAACUGGCAGACUAGAGUACUGUAGAGGGGGUAGAAUUUCAGGUGUAGCGGUGAAAAUGCGUAGAGAUCUGAAGGAAUACCGGUGGCGAAGGCGGCCCCCUGGACAGAUACUGACACUCAGAUGCGAAAGCGUGGGGAGCAAACAGGAUUAGAUACCCUGGUAG